AUUGAACGCUGGCGGAAUGCUUUACACAUGCAAGUCGAACGGCAGCACGGACUUCGGUCUGGUGGCGAGUGGCGAACGGGUGAGUAAUAUAUCGGAACGUAUCCAAUAAUGGGGGAUAACUAAUCGAAAGGUUGGCUAAUACCGCAUACGUCCUACGGGAGAAAGCUAGGGACCUUCGGGCCUGGCGUUAAUGGAGCGGCCGAUAUCUGAUUAGCUAGUUGGUGAGGUAAAGGCUCACCAAGGCGACGAUCAGUAGCUGGUCUGAGAGGACGACCAGCCACACUGGAACUGAGACACGGUCCAGACUCCUACGGGAGGCAGCAGUGGGGAAUUUUGGACAAUGGGCGCAAGCCUGAUCCAGCCAUUCCGCGUGAGUGAAGAAGGCCUUCGGGUUGUAAAGCUCUUUCGCAAGGGAAGAAAACUUAUCCUCUAACAUAGGGUGAGGUUGACGGUACCUUGAUAAGAAGCACCGGCUAACUACGUGCCAGCCGCCGCAGUAACAC
rnacentral:rRNA from 1 species